rnacentral:rRNA from 1 species
AACGAACGCUGGCGGCAGGCUUAACACAUGCAAGUCGAGCGCCCCGCAAGGGGAGCGGCAGACGGGUGAGUAACGCGUGGGAACGUACCUUUUGCUACGGAAUAGCUCCGGGAAACUGGAAUUAAUACCGUAUGUGCCCUACGGGGGAAAGAUUUAUCGGCAAAGGAUCGGCCCGCGUUGGAUUAGCUAGUUGGUGGGGUAAUGGCCUACCAAGGCGACGAUCCAUAGCUGGUCUGAGAGGAUGAUCAGCCACAUUGGGACUGGGACACGGCCCAAACUCCUACGGGAGGCAGCAGUGGGGAAUAUUGGACAAUGGGCGCAAGCCUGAUCCAGCCAUGCCGCGUGAGUGAUGAAGCUCUUCGGAGUGUAAAGUGCUUUUAUAGGGGAAAAACUUACGUGAUGGUACCCUAAGAAUAAGGGGUUGCUAUACUCGUGCCAGCAGCCGCGGUAACAC